rnacentral:rRNA from 1 species
UACGGGGGGGGCAAGCGUUGUUCGGAAUUACUGGGCGUAAAGGGCUCGUAGGCGGCCAUCUAAGUCGGACGUGAAAUCCCUCGGCUUAACCGGGGAACUGCGUCUGAUACUGGAUGGCUUGAGGUUGGGAGAGGGAUGCGGAAUUCCAGGUGUAGCGGUGAAAUGCGUAGAUAUCUGGAGGAACACCGGUGGCGAAGGCGGCAUCCUGGACCAAUUCUGACGCUGAGGAGCGAAAGCCAGGGGAGCAAACGGG